ACAAGAGAGAACUGCCAGGAAGCACGAUCUCAACACAGACGUGGGAGUACAUAUGGCUCCAUCAAUACUUAUCCCUAACUCAAUUUACGAUUCAUACAGAGACGAGCAGAGCAAAAUCAAAUAGGAGGAGAAAAUUAUUAUCAAGUCGGCUGACAAUUUUGCAGAUUCACUUGAGCCAGGUACACAGCGACGACGAUACUGGCAUUGACGCAAGAAGUGGCGCACUUCUUCAAAACAAAGGUAUCUUGAACAAAUGACUAAUUUCUUUUGUUCCUGAUUGGAAUAUUGUCUCAAGAAUACAAACACGGCAAAGAGAACAGAUGCAGGACUUUGGAAUAUGAAGUUGCUAAUUCUUUGAUUUUAUAUCAUCCACAUGUCUACAAGAGGUAAGGUCAUUCUGUUCAGUUCAUGAAUUGCUUAAUUUGAUGCUCAUUACGCUUUCUUUUCUUUUAUCCUUCUCACUCAUUAUGCAUUCUGUUCUGUUCAGUACAAUAAACUAUACUAAUUGUUUCCCUAUGCGAAAUUGGGAAUUUGGAGCAUGCAGGUAAUUCUCUAACUUUUGUUUUAGAUGAAUUGCAGUGAUGUUAUUGUACUGUUUGGUCUCAGACCCUUGAUCUACAAUUUUAUAAUGCUUAUAUACUUUAUAGCUUAUACUCCUUUCAAAUUUUGGGUAGUGUGGAACUGUGGAUUUCCAUCGUGUUUCUUUGCCA